rnacentral:rRNA from 1 species
AUUGAACGCUGGCGGCAUGCCUUACACAUGCAAGUCGAACGGUAGAGGGGCAACCCUUGAGAGUGGCGAACGGGUGAGUAGCGUAUCGGAACAUGCCCGGUCGUGGGGGAUAACGUAUCGAAAGUUACGCUAAUACCGCAUACGAUCUAAGGAUGAAAGCGGGGCACCGAAAGGCCUCGCGCGAUCGGAGUGGCCGAUACCCGGUGAGGUUGGUGGUGGGGUAAAGGCCUACCAAGCCGACCAUCUGUAGCUGGUAUGCGCGGACGACCAGCCACACUGGGCAUGUGAAACGACCCCGGAGCCUACGGGGGGCAGCGGUGGGAAAUGUUGAACAUUGGGCGAAAGCCUAAGCCAGUAAUGCCGCGGGCAGGAUGAAGGCCGUCGGGUUGUAAACUGCUUUUGUACGGAGCGAAAAGGUUUCCGCUAAUACAGGGGGCUGAUGACGGUACCGUAAGAAUAAGCACCGGCUAACUACGUGCCAGCCGCCGCCGUAA